UGGCGGACGGGUGAGUAACGCGUGGAAAACCUGCCGUAUACUGGGGGAUAACACUUAGAAAUAGGUGCUAAUACCGCAUAAGCGCACAGCUUCGCAUGAAGCGGUGUGAAAAACUCUGGUGGUAUACGAUGGUUCCGCGUCUGAUUAGCUAGUUGGUGGGGUAAUGGCCUACCAAGGCAACAAUCAGUAGCCGGCCUGAGAGGGUGAACGGCCACAUUGGGACUGAGACACGGCCCAAACUCCUACGGAAGGCAGCAG
rnacentral:rRNA from 1 species